UGGCUCAGUUGGUAGAGCAUGGCACUUCCAUUGCCAGGGUUGUGGUUUCGUAUUCCCAC
rnacentral:tRNA from 1 species